GCUCCGGUGGUGUAGUGGUUAUCACAUCGUUCUUAUAUUUGAGUUUAAAACCUCUUCACAUGCGAAGGUCCUGGGUUCAACCCCCAGUCGGAGCA